AGAGUUUGAUCAUGGCUCAGAAUCAACGCUGGCGGCGUGCCUAACACAUGCAAGUCGAACGAGAAAGGGACUUCGGUCCUGAGUAAAGUGGCGCACGGGUGAGUAACACGUGACUAACCUACCCUUGAGUGGGGGAUAACUUCGGGAAACCGAGGCUAAUACCGCAUAACACCUACGGGUCAAAGGAGCAAUUCGCUUAAGGAGGGGGUCGCGGCAGAUUAGUUAGUUGGCGGGGUAAUGGCCCACCAAGACAGUGAUCUGUAUCCGGCCUGAGAGGGCGCACGGACACACUGGAACUGAAACACGGUCCAGACUCCUACGGGAAGCAGCAGUGGGGAAUUUUGCGCAAUGGGGGAAACCCUGACGCAGCAACGCCGCGUGAAGGAUGAAGUAUUUCGGUACGUAAACUUCUUUCGAUCGGGACGAUAAUGACGGUACCGAGAGAAGAAGCCCCGGCUAACUUCGUGCCAGCAGCCGCGGUAAUACGAGGGGGGCGAGCGUUGUUCGGAAUUAUUGGGCGUAAAGGGUGCGUAGGCGGUUUGGUAAGUCUGAUGUGAAAUCUAUGGGCUCAACUCAUAGUCUGCAUCGGAAACUGCCGGGCUUGAGUAUGGGAGAGGUGAGUGGAAUUUCCGGUGUAGCGGUGAAAUGCGUAGAUAUCGGAAGGAACACCUGUGGCGAAAGCGGCUCACUGGACCAUAACUGACGCUGAUGCACGAAAGCUAGGGGAGCAAACAGGAUUAGAUACCCCCGUAGUCC
rnacentral:rRNA from 1 species